rfam:Oryza glumipatula chromosome 8, whole genome shotgun sequence.
UUUAAGUACAGUCAUGAAUUUCCGUGUCCAACUUUGAUCGUCUUUCUUAUUUGACCUUUUUUUUAUGUUUAGUACAUUUAUUAUUAUUAGAUGAUAAAACAUGAAUAUUACUUUAUGCAUGACUUAUGUUCUUAAAUUUUUUUCAUAAAAUUUUCAAAUAAGACGAACGAUCAAGAUUUGAUGCGGAAACUUAUGAUUGCGCUUAAA